GGCGUAAAGCGCACGCAGGCGGUCUGUCAAGUCGGAUGUGAAAUCCCCGGGCUCAACCUGGGAACUGCAUUCGAAACUGGCAGGCUAGAGUCUUGUAGAGGGGGGUAGAAUUCCAGGUGUAGCGGUGAAAUGCGUAGAGAUCUGGAGGAAUACCGGUGGCGAAGGCGGCCCCCUGGACAAAGACUGACGCUCAGGUGCGAAAGCGUGGGGAGCAAACAGGAUUAGAUACCCUGGUAGUCCACGCCGUAAACGAUGUCGACUUGGAGGUUGUGCCCUUGAGGCGUGGCUUCCGGAGCUAACGCGUUAAGUCGACCGCCUGGGGAGUACGGCCGCAAGGUUAAAACUCAAAUGAAUUGACGGGGGCCCGCACAAGCGGUGGAGCAUGUGGUUUAAUUCGAUGCAACGCCAAGAACCUUACCUACUCUUGACAUCCAGAGAACUUAGCAGAGAUGCUUUGGUGCCUUCGGGAACUCUGAGACAGGUGCUGCAUGGCUGUCGUCUGCUCGUGUUGUGAAAU
rnacentral:rRNA from 1 species